rnacentral:sRNA from 1 species
CCGCCCCAAACAAUAAGGUAGCCAAGUGAGGCUGUCUUUCUCUCAAGAGAAUAGUUUGGGGUGUUUUA